rnacentral:rRNA from 1 species
UACAGAGGUCUCGAGCGUUAGGCGGAAUCACUGGGCUUAAAGCGUGUGUAGGCGGAUCGUUAAGUGCCUUGUGAAAUCCCACGGCUCAACCGUGGAACUGCUGGGUAUACUGGCGAUCUUGAGCCACCUAGGGGCGAGCGGAACAAGCGGUGGAGCGGUGAAAUGCGUAGAUAUCGCUUGGAACGCCAAUGGUGAAAACAGCUCGCUGGGGGUGUGCUGACGCUGAGACACGAAAGCCAGGGGAGCGAACGGG